rnacentral:rRNA from 1 species
AUUGAAUGCUGGCGGCAUGGCUAAAACAUGCAAGUCGAACGAACCCGCAAGGGUGAGUGGCGAAAGGGUUAGUAAUACGAUCGAAUGUACCCCGAGGUGGAGGAUAGCGGGAAGAAAUUUCCGGUAAUACUCCAUGAUGUCUUCGGACCAAAGUUUUGGCGCCUUGGGAGCAGCGAUCGUCCUAUCAGGUAGUUGGACGGGGUAAAAGCCCACCAAGCCUUAGACGGGUAGCGGGUGUGAGAGCACGGCCCGCAACAUCGGAACUGAGACACUGUCCGGACUCUACGGGAGGCUGCAGUAACGAAUCUUCCGCAA